CGCCCGCCGCCCGCCGCCCGCCGCCCGCCGAGUUCUUGAAGAAGACCCACAAAAGGAUAGCAGGAUGGUUCAGAAGAAGAAAAAAGCAGCCGUGGCGCCCAAACUCCACAAGCCGAAGCGCGACGCGGAGAAGAAGUUCAGGAAGAAGGCUGACAUAGCGGAGUUCAGGGCGCAGCUGGACUCCCUUGGGCUAAAGAUAGUCGAAGUGACCGCAGAUGGGAACUGCUUCUUCAGUCUGCAGGGCAAUGGGUGACCAGCUUGACGGCAGUGAGCAAGAACACACGAAGUACCGAGCAAUGGCUGUGGAAUACAUUGUGAAACACCGGGAGGAGUUCGAGCCAUUUAUCGAGGAUGAAGUUCCGUUCGAACUUUGAAGAAUAUUGCGAUUGCGCUUCUAUGCUAAAGAAUGGGACUUGGGCUGGCCAUAUGGAGUUGCAAGCAGCUUCUCUUGUCACAAGAAGAAACAUGCAUUCACAUGGUGAGUCUGCAAUACAAACCCACCUUUCUGAAUUAUUUGAUUUAUAGAUCGUGCUGUACACAUUAUACAGUGGAGCGAUCCGUUACCUUAAAGGCUUAAACCUCCGUGGCUACUGGCUAGUAUGGGUUAUGUUACUAUAUUCACUUGCAUGCUUUGUGU